rnacentral:lncRNA from 10 species
CCGGCUCCGAGUUUCAUAAAUUGCCGCGGAACAACCUCGACGCACUCUUGCGCACGCGCACCAGCUGUGGAAGGAACCCCCUAGGAGCCCCCGCGACCCGGAUCGGUGAGGUAGACCAGGCCUUUGCCAGCCCCGUCCCUUUCUGCAGGCCCCGUCCCUUUCUGCAGGCCCCGCCCACGCCGCACACUUGGAACUCUGGCCCUGUGAAUGGACUCACGGACUGCAGAGAAAGGGACAGAGAGGAAGAGAGAAAAUAGAAGGAAAUGGGCUGGAAUUGGCCCAGGGAACACCAACACCAUUGGUUGAGUCAGGAAGGCGGACCUGCAAAAAAGAGAGAGGAGGAUCAGCCUGAGAGGUAGGAGGAAAUCUGGUGGGUGUGGAGACACAGAGGGA